rnacentral:rRNA from 1 species
UACAGAGGUCCCGAGCGUUGUUCGGAUUCACUGGGCGUAAAGGGUGCGUAGGUGGUGAGGUAAGUCGGAUGUGAAAUCUCCAGGCUCAACCUGGAAACUGCAUUGGAAACUACCUUGCUGGAGGAUUUGAGGGGGGGAUUGGAAUACUUGGUGUAGCAGUGAAAUGCGUAGAUAUCAAGUAGAACACCAGUGGCGAAGGCGAAUCCCUGGAAAAUACCUGACACUGAGGCACGAAAGCUAGGGGAGCAAACAGG